AACGAACGCUGGCGGCAUGCCUAACACAUGCAAGUCGAACGAGACCUUCGGGUCUAGUGGCGCACGGGUGCGUAACGCGUGGGAACCUGACCUUAGGUUGGGAAUAACUCCCCGAAAGGGGUGCUAAUACCGGAUAAUGUCUUCGGACCAAAGAUUUAUCGCCUUUGGAUGGGCCCGCGUUGGAUUAGCUAGUUGGUAGGGUAAAAGCCUACCAAGGCGACGAUCCAUAGCUUGUCUGAGAGGAUGAUCAGCCACACUGGGACUGAGACACGGCCCAGACUCCUACGGGAGGCAGCAGUGGGGAAUAUUGGACAAUGGGCGAAAGCCUGAUCCAGCAAUGCCGCGUGAGUGAUGAAGGCCUUAGGGUUGUAAAGCUCUUUUAACCGGGAUGAUAAUGACAGUACCGGGAGAAUAAGCUCCGGCUAACUCCGUG
rnacentral:rRNA from 1 species